GUGAGGAAUAUUGGUCAAUGGACGCGAGUCUGAACCAGCCAAGUAGCGUGAAGGAUGACUGCCCUAUGGGUUGUAAACUUCUUUUAUAAGGGAAUAAAGUGAGGGACGUGUCCCUUUUUGUAUGUACCUUAUGAAUAAGGAUCGGCUAACUCCGUGCCAGCAGCCGCGGUAAUACGGAGGAUCCAAGCGUUAUCCGGAUUUAUUGGGUGUAAAGGGAGCGUAGGUUGACAUAUAAGUCAGCUGUGAAAGUUUACGGCUCAACCGUGAAAUUGCAGUUGAUACUGUAUGUCUUGAGUGUACAAGAGGUGGGCGGAAUUCGUGGUGUAGCGGUGAAAUGCUUAGAUAUCACGAAGAACUCCAAUUGCGAAGGCAGCUCACUGGGGUACAACUGACACUGAGGCUCGAAAGUGUGGGUAUCAAACAGGAUUAGAAACCCUAGUAGUCC
rnacentral:rRNA from 1 species